CGAAAGCCUGACGGAGCAAGACCGCGUGAGGGAGGAAGGCCCUUGGGUUGUAAACCUCUUUUCUCAGGGAAGAAGACAAUGACGGUACCUGAGGAAUCAGCCUCGGCUAACUCCGUGCCAGCAGCCGCGGUAAUACGGAGGAGGCAAGCGUUAUCCGGAAUUAUUGGGCGUAAAGCGUCCGCAGGUGGCUGGAUAGCAAGUCUGUCGUCAAAGACCGGGGCUUAACCCUGGGAAGGCGGUGGAAACUGCACAGCUAGAGAGAGGUAGGGGUAGAGGGAAUUCCCGGUGUAGCGGUGAAAUGCGUAGAGAUCGGGAAGAACAUCGGUGGCGAAAGCGCUCUACUGGACCUAAUCUGACACUCAGGGACGAA
rnacentral:rRNA from 1 species